GGGAAGGUGGCUCAGUGGUAGAGUGCUUGCUUUGCAUGCCUGAGGCCCUGGGUUCGAUUCCUUAGCCCCA
rnacentral:tRNA from 1 species